rnacentral:rRNA from 1 species
GAUGAACGCUGACAGAAUGCUUAACACAUGCAAGUCAACUUGAAUUUGGGUUUUUACCUUAGGUUUGGGUGGCGGACGGGUGAGUAACGCGUAAAGAACUUGCCUCACAGCUAGGGACAACAUUUGGAAACGAAUGCUAAUACCUAAUAUUAUGAUAAUAGGGCAUCCUAUAAUUAUGAAAGCUAUAAGCGCUGUGAGAGAGCUUUGCGUCCCAUUAGCUAGUUGGAGAGGUAACGGCUCACCAAGGCGAUGAUGGGUAGCCGGCCUGAGAGGGUGAUCGGCCACAAGGGGACUGAGACACGGCCCGUACUCCUACGGGAGGCAGCAGUGGGGAAUAUGGGACAAUGGACCAAGAGUCUGAUCCAGCAAUUCUGUGUGCACGAUGAAGUUUUUCGGAAUGUAAAGUGCUUUCAGUUGGGAAGAAAGAAAUGACGGUACCAACAGAAGAAGUGACGGCUAAAUACGUG